rnacentral:misc_RNA from 1 species
UACAGAGGUCCCAAGCGUUGUUCGGAUUCACUGGGCGUCACGGGUGCGUAGGUGGCUAGGAAAGUCUGAUGUGUAAGCUCCGGGCUCAACCCGGAAAUGGCAUUGGAAACUGACUGGCUAGAGGGUCGGAGGGGAGACUGGAAUUCGCGGUGUAGCAGUGAAAUGCGUAGAUAUCGAGAUGAACACCGGUGGCGAAGGCGAGUCUCUGGACGAACCCUGACACUGAGUCACGAAAGCUAGGGGAGCAAACAGG